rnacentral:rRNA from 1 species
GACGAACGCUGGCGGCGUGCCUAAUACAUGCAAGUAGAACGCACAGUUUAUACCGUAGCUUGCUACACCAUAGACUGUGAGUUGCGAACGGGUGAGUAACGCGUAGGUAACCUGCCUGGUAGCGGGGGAUAACUAUUGGAAACGAUAGAUAAUACCGCAUAAUAUUAAUUAUUGCAUGAUAAUUAAUUGAAAGGUGCAAUUGCACCACUACCAGAUGGACCUGCGUUGUAUUAGCUAGUAGGUGAGGUAACGGCUCACCUAGGCGACGAUACAUAGCCGACCUGAGAGGGUGAUCGGCCACACUGGGACUGAGACACGGCCCAGACUCCUACGGGAGGCAGCAGUAGGGAAUCUUCGGCAAUGGACGAAAGUCUGACCGAGCAACGCCGCGUGAGUGAAGAAGGUUUUCGGAUCGUAAAGCUCUGUUGUAAGAGAAGAACGGGUGUGAGAGUGGAAAGUUCACACUGUGACGGUAUCUUACCAGAAAGGGACGGCUAACUACGUG